AUUGAACGCUGGCGGCAGGCCUAACACAUGCCAGUCGAGCGGAUGAAGGGAGCUUGCUCCUGGAUUCAGCGGCGGACGGGUGAGUAAUGCCUAGGAAUCUGCCUGGUAGUGGGGGAUAACGUCCGGAAACGGGCGCUAAUACCGCAUACGUCCUGAGGGAGAAAGUGGGGGAUCUUCGGACCUCACGCUAUCAGAUGAGCCUAGGUCGGAUUAGCUAGUUGGUGGGGUAAAGGCCUACCAAGGCGACGAUCCGUAACUGGUCUGAGAGGAUGAUCAGUCACACUGGAACUGAGACACGGUCCAGACUCCUACGGGAGGCAGCAGUGGGGAAUAUUGGACAAUGGGCGAAAGCCUGAUCCAGCCAUGCCGCGUGUGUGAAGAAGGUCUUCGGAUUGUAAAGCACUUUAAGUCGGGAGGAAGGGCAGUAAGUUAAUACCUUGCUGUUUUGACGUUACCAACAGAAUAAGCACCGGCUAACUUCGCG
rnacentral:rRNA from 1 species